UAGGGUUUGAUUAUGGCUCAGAUUGAACGCUAGCGGGAUGCCUUACACAUGCAAGUCGAACGGCAGCACGGACUUCGGUCUGGUGGCGAGUGGCGAACGGGUGAGUAAUGUAUCGGAACGUGCCUAGUAGCGGGGGAUAACUACGCGAAAGCGUAGCUAAUACCGCAUACGCCCUACGGGGGAAAGCAGGGGAUCGCAAGACCUUGCACUAUUAGAGCGGCCGAUAUCGGAUUAGCUAGUUGGUGGGGUAACGGCUCACCAAGGCGACGAUCCGUAGCUGGUUUGAGAGGACGACCAGCCACACUGGGACUGAGACACGGCCCAGACUCCUACGGGAGGCAGCAGUGGGGAAUUUUGGACAAUGGGGGAAACCCUGAUCCAGCCAUCCCGCGUGUGCGAUGAAGGCCUUCGGGUUGUAAAGCACUUUUGGCAGGAAAGAAACGUUCCGGGUUAAUACCCCGGGAAACUGACGGUACCUGCAGAAUAAGCACCGGCUAACUACGUGCCAGCAGCCGCGGUAAUACGUAGGGUGCAAGCGUUAAUCGGAAUUACUGGGCGUAAAGCGUGCGCAGGCGGUUCGGAAAGAAAGAUGUGAAAUCCCAGAGCUUAACUUUGGAACUGCAUUUUUAACUACCGAGCUAGAGUGUGUCAGAGGGAGGUGGAAUUCCGCGUGUAGCAGUGAAAUGCGUAGAUAUGCGGAGGAACACCGAUGGCGAAGGCAGCCUCCUGGGAUAACACUGACGC
rnacentral:rRNA from 1 species